rnacentral:rRNA from 1 species
AUUGAACGCUGGCGGCAGGCUUAACACAUGCAAGUCGAGCGAGCGGCGGACGGGUGAGUAAUGUCUGGGAAACUGCCUGAUGGCGGGGGCUAACUACUGGAAACGGUAGCUAAUACCGCAUACCAUCAGAUGUGCCCAAAUGGGAUUAGGUAGUAGGUGGGGUAAUGGCUCACCUAGGCGUCGAUCCCUAGCUGGUCUGAGAGGAUGACCUGCCACACUGGAACUGAGAAACGGUCCAGACUCCUACGGGAGGCAGCGGUGGGGAAUAUUGCACAAUGGGCACAAGCCUGAUGCAGCCAUGCGGCGUGUGUGAAGAAGGCCUUCGGGUUGUAAAGCACUUUCGGCGAGGAGGCGUUACUCGCGGAAGAAGCACCGGCUAACGCCGUGCCAGCAGCCGCGGUAAUAC